GCUGGUGACUCGGUUCGUGAUUCAGUGUGAAUCAUUUGAACAGCACUGAAUCGUUUGGAGCGGUUCCUCACUUCGUGAAACAGCAACGAGGAUCUUCAAAACAACAAGAGGAUGAACUGAACAUUUACCUACAAGCAGUUUAAAACAAUCCUAUAAAGGUAUCACGUCGUUUUUCACCGGCCAGGAAGAUCUGCAGAUGUCACCCCAAAGCUAAAAGUCCAUGAAGUUCCGCACUUCACUACGGCUUAAUCAAGAUUUCUGUAACAACCGGACCAAUUCUCGUCUACAGGCUGUUGAAAUUGUCAUAUAAACACAUCCAUCUCAUGAGCUGUCAUUAUUUCUACGCCAAGGACUGGUGAAAGAGUUUAGGAACCGAAGAUGGAUGUACUGGUCAAAGACUGGAGAGCUGAAUGUGGGUGAGGUCAACACUCUUACUCUCUGUGGGUUUAAGCGGGUUGUGUGAGUGACUAGCAGCAGCUCUAUAAAGGCUUGUGAGAAUCCACAGGAAACUGAGGAAACUGGAGUCUGAGGGACACUGGGAGA